rnacentral:rRNA from 1 species
CAGUAGCCGCGGUAAUACGGAGGGAGCUAGCGUUGUUCGGAAUUACUGGGCGUAAAGCGCGCGUAGGCGGUUACUCAAGUCAGAGGUGAAAGCCCGGGGCUCAACCCCGGAACUGCCUUUGAAACUAGGUGACUAGAAUCUUGGAGAGGUCAGUGGAAUUCCGAGUGUAGAGGUGAAAUUCGUAGAUAUUCGGAAGAACACCAGUGGCGAAGGCGACUGACUGGACAAGUAUUGACGCUGAGGUGCGAAAGCGUGGGGAGCAAACAGGAUUAGAUACCCCAGUAGUCCCUGUCUCUUAGAC